rnacentral:rRNA from 1 species
GACGGAGGGUGCUAGCGUUGUUCGGAAUGACUGGGCGUAAAGGGCGCGUAGGCGGUUUUAUAAGUUGGGCGUGAAAGCCCCGGGCUCAACCCGGGAACUGCGUUCGAUACUGUAAGACUAGAGUAUGGAAGAGGAAAGUGGAAUUCCUAGUGUAGAGGUGAAAUUCGUAGAUAUUAGGAGGAACACCAGAGGCGAAGGCGGCUUUCUGGUCCAUUACUGACGCUGAGGCGCGAAAGCGUGGGGAGCAAACAGGAUUAGAUACCCUGGUAGUCCACGCCGUAAACGAUGAGUGCUAGACGUCGGGCUUUAAAGCUCGGUGUCGCAGCUAACGCAUUAAGCACUCCGCCUGGGGAGUACGGUCGCAAGAUUA